AGAGAUUGCUUGUUAAAGAAAUA
rnacentral:siRNA from 1 species